AAAUGUUGACUCGUCGAGCAAAUGGAAAGCGACGAGAUCUAAAUGAAGAACUUAGCCUGCCUUAACUGCGGUUGAAUUACAUGGCCGCUGCUUAACGCGUCCCAAGCCGCGUUAAUUACGUUAAACUACCGGCAGGAAUUAAUUUCGUAGCACGGAGCUUUAUCUUAGAAAACAUAGAUAAGAAAUGGCGUGCGAUAAAGUGAACCCGGCUGUCCUUGUCACGCCACCAAAUUAUUUGAUUCGCGUCGUCUUAAAUAAGGAAGAAUUAAGAACGAUGGAACAAGCAACGGCAGCAGAAAGCCAUCAUCGAAAUUGGACAAUUCGAUGUCGUUCAACGAAACGAGGUUCCAUCGAAUUAAUUAUCGAGUGUUGUUAAUUAUUGGACUCGGCCAAUAAAACGUAUCCCUAUAAGCCGACCAUUGGCACAUGGGAACGGGGACGAAGAGAGGAAAAACGAAACAAAGGCCCUUCGUGAUCGAGCGGGUAAGAGGGACCGCAUUUGCGCGAUGGAAAAUUUGCAAAACACCGAAUUUCGAUUACCCAUCCGCAUGGUGAGAGUUAAAAAUACCAGAGGGAAUGAAUUAUAAUUACCAAAUGGCACGAACGGCGUAUAGACACGUCCUCGAAAAUUAAAGUAGUUUAAAAUUAAAAUAGUGGUCGCAGUCGAAAUGACUACGCGGUCUAUUAAUUAAGUCGUUACAAACGACCAACGUCGUUACUAAAUUCGUUGUGCUGGUUAUAGAGAUUUAUCCUCAUUCUUUACGA
rnacentral:misc_RNA from 1 species